CAGCAGAAAGCAGGAAGUGAAGCGCUGAGUGAGUUCAGACUCCGACUGACAGCCUGAGAGGAGAAGCAGUGACUGAAGAUGAGUGGUGUGGAUGAAGAGGAGGACGGACCAGAGUGUGUGGACAGACACACAGCAGAGUCUUCAGGAUCCAGCAGGUUGUCUCUGAAGAGUGACUGGUCCAGA